CUCUGAUUGGGAACCACACAACAAAGCACAAUUUCCAGUUGAGCUGACCUGUGCGGAGGAGCGAGGGUGGCACCAGAACCUCGGAAAUGCUAACUACAGAGUCCCCGGGGCAUGACAUGAUGAUGCGGAGAAGUGGGCAGGCACCUGCUGGUGGGUGGCCUGCUUCCUCCCGUGAGAAUCCUGAACACAUGCAGCUUCCAGCCCGAAGCACUUUGGAACCAUGCUUUUACCAGGUAAACCUACAAAACCCUGAAGGCUUAGGGGAUAAUUUUACAAAGCCACCGAGGCAAGUGGAAUGAUAAUUGUACCACAAGGGACGAAUGAGAGAGAAAUGGACGCAUCCAGGAAAGGGCUUCACACGUUUAGGCUUUGAACCUGUCUCUACCGGAAAUCCCAGCUGAGGGAAUUUUGACGCUGCCCUCCAUCCGUUACAGAUCUCAUUCUCUAACCACCUACAUUUUCAUCUUCUUUUCUCUGAGAGGGAUCUUGGGCCAUUCCCUUUGGCUCUGAGCUGUGCACCUACCCUAUUACUUUAAAAAAAAAAACAAAACUCUACAGAUCAGCUGACCUUCAACUAACUUUAUGGACUACCUACGGCAUGACAAGAUCCACGUGUGAAGCUUUUACAACUCUGAUCUCAUUUACAUUAAUCCUGACAAUAAAAUAUGGAGAUGGUUGUA